UCAGACGAUGCGUCAUGCAUAUCAAUAAGCGGAGGAAAAGGAACUAACAAGGAUUCCCCUAGUAACGGCGAGUGAAGCGGGAAGAGCUCAAAUUUGAAAUCUUAAAGGGUUUCCCUUUACGAAUUGUAGUUUAAAGAAGUGUUUUCUGUUGAGGUUUUGGUAAAAGUUCUUUGGAAUAGGACAUCAUAGAGGGUGAGAAUCCCGUAUUUGACCUUUACUUUCAACUUUGUGAUACACUUUCAAAGAGUCGGAUUGUUUGGGAAUGCAGUCCAAAAUGGGUGGUAAAUUUCAUCUAAAGCUAAAUAUUGGCGAGAGACCGAUAGCGAACAAGUACCGUGAGGGAAAGAUGAAAAGAACUUUGAAAAGAGAGUUAAACAGUACGUGAAAUUGUCAAAAGGGAAGCGUUUGACACCAGUGUUGUUUUUCUGAAAAUCAAUUAAAGAACUGUUUAUGCUAAGCUGUUUAGACUUUAUCAGCUAUCUGUUUAGUUUUGAGCUUUUCUUUAAUGCACUUUUCGGUUAACAAGUCAACAUCAAUUUCUUUUGCUGUAAAAAAGCUUGAGGAAGGUGGCUUGAGAUUCGUCUUAAGUGUUUAUAGCCUCUUGCCUAUGCAGUCGGAGAGAUUGAGGUCUGCAGCGUAGAUCCUUCGGGGCUAAAUGCAUUUGUGCUAAGUUAUAGCAUUUUAUAGACAACUUGUUGACUAUGAUUUGUCUUGUAGCUUACUCGCUUAUGUUAUUUUACCUACGCUUAGGAUGUUGAGCGCAUGUCUCUCUCU
rnacentral:rRNA from 1 species